AUACUUAUUUUGAUUGUUAUGUUGUAGUGACAGUGUGCCAGUGCACAUGUUCCGAGUACAGGAGAGAGAAUUUGUUACUCUCUUAGUUUCCUCGCUCUCUCCGCCGGUACUCAAUUUUUGACGUUAUUUCUAUGUGGGACUGCGCUUUAAGAGCGUAUGUAGAUCCCAGUGGCGUUGUUGCUUGCUGCCGUUUCAUCUGCUUGCCCCUUGCCAAGCGUGAGCACUUUGCGGUUAAUCACGAUGACGGGGGCGUUUGCGACGCCAGUUGCGGUUGUUGUGGCCUGUCAAUCGCUGACUUUGCUUUGUAUUCUGCUUUUGUUGAUAAUCGGGAGCGGCGACGCCGACGUCGCCGCGUAGUGUUCGCAAUUUAAGUUUUUGGGGCCCGUUGGGCCAGCACUGUUGUCGACGUCACGUCAGUUCAUUGCGUCGGCUUGUACAGCUUGCUAGCGCGUUUUUUUUUUCGUGUUCUCGCCAAUUCUCAAUUCUCUGUGUGUGCGUGUAUGUGUGACUGUAUUUAUUGUGUGCUGGCGUUCUAGUGUAUGUUUUGUGAUAUUCUUCUCUGUUACUGCUGUCGGUGCUUCUUCUUGCCAGUUUUUGUUGUUGACGUCGCCGCAUUGUUUUUAUUGCCGUUUCUGUCGUUGCCGUCGUGGCCGCCGCGCAGACCAAAACUUGAUUGUGAUAUAAUUUGUUAAGUAUUUAUUUAUUUGUAUUUGGCACAAGCGUGCCACGACGGACCCGUUGCUGCCCCAGUGCAAUUGCAUUAAAGCCGCAAGUUCCCGAGGCAGCCACAAAACGCUUGCAAACUCACAAACCUAAGCACCCGGGCGCUCUCUGUCUCACUCUCACUUGUCACUUGUCACUGGCCGCACGCUGUCUCGCUCACUCGCAAUGGUCUACUCAACGAACAUAUUGCUGGGCAUUGUGACCAUACUAACCGCUGUGUUCAUCUGGUCGCGUCGCACCUACGUCUAUUGGCAGCGACGUCGCGUCAAGUUUGUGCAGCCAACGCAUCUGCUGGGCAACCUGAAGAAGGUGCUCAAACUGGAGGAGUCGUUCGCCCUACAGCUGCGCCGCUUCUACUUUGACGAGCGUUUCCGCAACGAGCCCGUCGUGGGCAUCUACCUUUUCCAUCAGCCGGCGCUGCUCAUACGCGACCUGCGGCUGGUGCGCACCGUUCUAGUCGAAGACUUUGUGAGCUUCUCCAAUCGGUUUGCCAAAUGUGACAUGCGCCACGACAGAAUGGGCUCCCUCAAUCUAUUCUUUGCCAGGCAGCCCGAAUGGCGUGAAAUACGCACUAGACUCUCGCCGGUCUUUACCGGCGCCAAGAUCAAGCAAAUGUUCUCGCUCAUGGAGGAGAUUGGCUGCGAUCUGGAGUGGUAUUUGAAGCGUUUGAUGCGUGAUUUGCGACGCGGAGACGCGGCCAGAGGCGUCAUCGUGAGCAUCAAGGAUGUGUGCGACCUGUACAAUACGGACAUGAUUGCGAGCAUUGCGUUUGGCCUGCGCUCCUAUAGCUUGCGAAAUACGCAAUCUGAAAUUGGCUCACAUUGUCAGGACAUAUUCAAGCCGAACGUGCGUCGAAUAAUAGACUUCUUUGUGAUAUUCUUUCUGCCGAAGCUGGUGCCGCUGCUGCGGUCGAAGCUGUUUACGGAGCCGCAUUCCGAGUUCCUGCGCCGUGUCAUCCAGCUGGUGAUCGAGGAGCGUGAACGGGGCGGCGAUCUGCGCAAUGAUCUCAUUGAAAUGCUGCUAACGCUCAAAAAGGAGGCCGAUCUACAGCAGGACAAGACGCACUUUACGCAUCAUCAAGACUUUCUGGCCGCCCAGGCGGCCAGCUUCGAGGUGGCCGGCAUUGAGACAUGCUCGUCCACCAUGUCGUUCGCCCUCUACGAGCUGGCCAAACAGCCGCUGAUGCAGGAGCGACUGCGACGCGAGGUCCGACAUGCCUUUGCUCUGGCAGCGGCACAUGGCGGCGGGCCAGGUCUCAGCUAUGAGCUCAUAGCUGGCAUGCAGUAUCUGGAAAUGGUUGUGGAGGAGACGCUGCGCAAGUAUCCAAUUGUGCCGCUGCUGGAACGCGAGUGCGCGCCCAUCAACAAGAAGCGCUUCUACUCACUGCGGCCGCAUGCCGAGUGCUAUGCCCGGCGCGGCAUGCCCGUCUUUAUAUCCAAUCUGGCCAUACACCAUGAUCCGCAGUACUGGCCCGAGCCGGACCGUUUCGAUCCGGAGCGCUUUAAUGCCGAGAAUAAAUUAAAGCAAACGCCCAUGUCGUAUCUGCCCUUCGGCGCCGGACCACACAACUGUAUUGGCAUGCAAAUCGGGAUGCUGCAGAUUAAGUUGGGACUCAUCUAUUUUCUGCGCCAGCAUCGCGUCGAGUUCUGCGACAAGACCGUGGACCGCAUCAGUUUCGAUGCUAAGUUCGCUCUGCUCGCCAGCGAGCAUAGCAUUUACCUCAAAGUUGUUGACUGUUUAUAGCACAAGGGAGCUGCACAUGACCAGAGCGCAUCAACAGCAUCAGCACCAGCACCAGCACCAGCACCACCAACACCACCAACACCACCACCAUGUCGUCACCAUCAACAGUACCAAAUUCAAAUCCAAAUCCAUCAGCAUCACAAUAUCGGAUGCAGCCUACAGCUCAUCUAAACGCCAGUUGCCACCCAAUUCGGGUCGCAUUGUAUAUACAUAACUAUUUGGUGGCCUGAUCGUUGCUAUCGGUUGCCUCUUGGCUGGUGUCAUUCGAGUUGGCAGCCACUUAAUUCGUGCGAGGGUUGCUCAAUGCCAAUACCAGAACGAAUAACAUCAUGUAUAUACAGCACACACACACACAUAUACAUACAUAUAUAUGUAUAUUAUUUACUUAAAGAAAACUUUAUAGAAUUUUAGA